UUCUAUAAGGGAAAUUAUGAUUUGCUGGAAGAAGAAAGAAGACUUUUCUAUGUUGGAAUGACUAGAGCCAAAGAAGUGCUAGAUCUUGUCACUAUCAAAAA
rnacentral:sRNA from 1 species